UGAAUACGAGAUGCUACGGCGUCGAAGCAGUCUAUGUCAUACUUCCAAGAAAAGCUCGCACUGUCAUAAACAAAUAAUGCCUGUACCAUAACCGACACAGGUGGGUAGGUAGAGUAUACUAAGGGGCGCGAGAUAACUCUCUCUAAGGAACUCGGCAAAAUGACUCCGUAACCUCGGGAGAAGGAGUGCCUUAUUUAUAAGGUUGCAAUAACAAGAUCCAAGCAACUGUUUAUCAAAAACACAGGUCUCCGCUAAGUCGUAAGACGAUGUAUGGGGGCUGACGCCUGCCCAGUGCCAGAAGGUUAAAGAAGUUGGUUAGCAUUCGCGAAGCUGAUAACUGAAGCCCUGGUGAACGGCGGCCGUAACUAUAACGGUCCUAAGGUAGCGAAAUUCCUUGUCGGGUAAGUUCCGACCCGCACGAAAGGCGUAAUGAUUUGGAUACUGUCUCGGAGAGGGGCUCGGUGAAAUAGACUUGUCUGUGAAGAUGCGGACUACCUGCACCAGGACAGAAAGACCCUAUGAAGCUUUACUGUAACUUGAGAUUGAAAUUGGACUUUACUUGCGCAGUAUAGGUGGGAGGCGUUGAUAAUAUUCUUGCGGGAUUAUUUGAGCCAUCAGUGAGAUACCACUCUUGUAAUGUUAGAUUUCUAACUUUGUAUCAUUAUCUGGUCAAAGGACAGUUUCAGGCGGGCAGUUUGACUGGGGCGGUCGCCUCCUAAACGGUAACGGAGGCGCACAAAGGUUUCCUCUGAACGGGUAGAAAUCGUAUCUAGAGUGUAAAGGCAUAAGGAAGCUUGACUGUGAGACCUACAAGUCGAGCAGGGACGAAAGUCGGUCUUAGUGAUCUGACGGUGCUGAGUGGAAAGGCCGUCACUCAACGGAUAAAAGUUACUCUAAGGAUAACAGGCUGAUCUCCCCCAAGAGUUCACACCGACGGGGAGGUUUGGCACCUCGAUGUCGGCUCAUCGCAUCCUGGGGCGGUAGUACGUCCCAAGGGUUGGGCUGUUCGCCCAUGAAAGCGGUACGCGAGCUGGGUUCAGAACGUCGUGAGACAGUUCGGUCCAUAUCCGGUGUAGGCGUUAGAAUAUUGAGAGGAGCCUUCUUUAGUACGAGAGGACCGAGAAGGACAUACCUCUGGUGUACCAGUUAUCGUGCCAACGGUAAACGCUGGGUAGCUAUGUAUGGAGUGGAUAACCGCUGAAAGCAUCUAAGUGGGAAGCCCACCUCAAGAUAAG
rnacentral:rRNA from 1 species